UACGUAGGGGGCAAGCGUUGUCCGGAAUCAUUGGGCGUAAAGAGCGUGUAGGCGGCCAGAGACGUCCGCUGUGAAAACUCGAGGCUCAACUUCGAGCUGUCGGUGGAAACUUUCUGGCUAGAGUCCGGAAGAGGAGAAUGGAAUUCCUGGUGUAGCGGUGAAAUGCGCAGAUAUCAGGAAGAACACCCGUGGCGAAGGCGGUUCUCUGGGCCUUACCUGACGCUCAGGCGCGAAAGCUAGGGGAGCGAACUGG
rnacentral:rRNA from 1 species